rnacentral:rRNA from 1 species
GAUGAACGCUAGCGGUAUGCUUAACACAUGCAAGUCGUACGGAAAAGCAAUUUUUAGUGGCGAACGGGUGCGUAACACGUGAGAAUCUGCCCUUAGGAAGAGGAUAACAACUAGAAAUAGUUGCUAAAACUCUAUAUGCCGUGAGGUGAAAAAGGCAACUUGCCUAAGGAGGAGCUCGCGUCUGAUUAGCUAGUUGGUGGGGUAAAGGCCUACCAAGGCGACGAUCAGUAGCUGGUCUGAGAGGACGAUCAGCCACACUGGAACUGAGACACGGUCCAGACUCCUACGGGAGGCAGCAGUGAGGAAUUUUCUACAAUGGACGAAAGUCUGAUAGAGCAAUACCGCGUGAGGGAUGAAGGCCUAUGGGUUGUAAACCUCUUUUCUCAAGGAGGAAGAUCUGACGUUACUUGAGGAAUAAGCAUCGGCUAACCCUGUGCCAGCAGCCGCGGUAAUACAGGGGAUGCAAGUGUUAUCCGGAAUUAUUGGGCGUAAAGCGUCUGCAGGUUGAUAUGUAAGUCUUUUGUU